rnacentral:tRNA from 1 species
GCGGCCUUCGCGUGGCUGGCGUGGCGGACGCUCGGCACGUUCCGGGCGCUCGGCGCGCUCGGGACGUUCCGCGCGUUCAGGACGCUC